rnacentral:lncRNA from 1 species
UGAACAACGAGAGCUUUGUGGAAUUCGACCCUAAAGUGCUACACACGAUCUCUUUAUUUGAGAGAGUAGUCUUAGGUUAAUUUGACUCGUAUCAAAUAUAAAUCUACAAUAUUUAAAAAUGUAACUCAUCCAAAAAUAUGAUGAUCACAACAAAAUAUAAAUCAGAACUACUACCAAAAAUAUAUAUAUAUAUAUAUAUAUAUAUAUAUAUAUAUAUAUAUAUAUAUAUAUAUAAAUCAGAACUUUGUAUAUUUUUUCUUCCGAAUAACUAUUUAUACUACUUGCUAAUCAUUGCGGGAUAACAAAAAGUUGGACUUCUGCAUCACCACAAACUGCCACUCCUUUGGAAGCAGAAACCCGUUGUCUUUUGGCGGCUCUUCAGCACACUUGGGCAAGCGGAUAUUCAAGAGUUAUUUUCGAGGGUGAUUGUGAAGUCCUUAUUAAUAACUUAACGGGUAAUGAAGCAGCUCAUGUGCUUGCCAGAUUUGGAUGUAAUACUUGUAAUUUUUAUUCAGCUACUAUGAACCCACCACCAUGGUUGGAACAAAAACUCUGUACUGAUUAUCAAAGUUCAAUAUAAAUUAAUUUCGACGAAACAAAAAAAAACUACUUGCUAAUCAUCCGGUAUUUGGUCUACCUGAUACAAAUGUUUUCCUUGUUUAUGCGAAUAGCCUUCAACAUUACUUGAAAGGAAUCAUAAGAAAAAAAAAAAAAAACAAUUUCUUUCAAAACAUGAACGGAUUAACAAAAAUGAAAUUUUCAAUAGCUUCCGGAUGCAAAUUGGAGAAAAAGGGCUGAUUUUGUUUUGAGAUUUCCAGCUUCUCAAGCUCACCUGUCACCAAUGUAAUUAUUUUCACAACUUUUGUAUAAAUUUUAGAUUUUGAUUUUGGUCACUACUUUCCUUGA